rnacentral:rRNA from 1 species
AUUGAACGCUGGCGGCAGGCCUAACACAUGCAAGUCGAGCGAGCGGCGGACGGGUGAGUAAUGUCUGGGAAACUGCCUGAUGGAGGGGGAUAACUACUGGAAACGGUAGCUAAUACCGCAUACCAUCAGAUGUGCCCAGGUGGGAGUAGCUAGUAGGUGGGGUAACGGCGCACCUAGGAGACGAUCCCUAGCUGGUGUGAGAGGAUGACCAGCCACACGAGAACUGAGACACGGUCCAGACUCCUACGGGAUGCAGCAGUGGGGAAUAUUGCACAAUGGGCGCACGCCUGCUGCAGCCAGGCCGGGUGUGUGAAGAAGGCCUUCGGGUUGUAAAGCACUUUCAGCGGGGAGGCGUUACCCGCAGAAGAAGCACCGGCUAACUCCGUGCCAGCCGCCGCGGUAAUUC